GGACAUAUAAAUUGGCUAAGGGAUAUCUUAAAGUACCGUGGUUCUUGGGUUGCUUUUUGUUAGUACAAGUCAAAAGUAUCUUUCAUGUUCGUUCUUGUAAUGCAUUUUCUUCUAAAAGAAAUACUUGUAUGGAUGUAAACUUAUGCUGCAUAUUUCUUCUCCUCUCCUUGGAUAAUUAGCUGCUUAUUUGGCAUGUUUGGAAUGUGUGC
rnacentral:misc_RNA from 1 species